CCAUAUAAUCCGUAAUAGAGUGCCUUGAUGAAAACAAGGAUAAUAGGGAAACCGGUGCAAGUCCGGUGCAGCCCCCGCUACUGUAAACGCAUAUAAACUGAUUCACUCAUGCCACUGGUUCAUUAUUGAAUACGGGAAGGCGGAAUCAGGUUCAACAAGAUAAGCGUAAGCCAGGAAACCUGCUCUAUGUACUUGAAUUCUA
rnacentral:ncRNA from 20 species